AACAAAACAAAACCAAAAUGGGUUCUUAGCCCCGAUCCCCGCACGGGAUUUUCCCGGAUUUUUUUUUUGUGUCAACCUAGCAUCACUCCGACACUCCGUCUACGAUGCGUCGAUGCCUGUACUGUCUAUCCAGAUUCCAGACUUCACUUUCCAGUGUAUAUUUUGGUCAAUAUUACUUUACAGGAAGUCGGGGACAGUUAUAUUUUUCAAAUCUUGGUUGAGCGAGGCUACAGAUCCCCACUAUCUAUUUCCCCCCUAAUCUCAGAAAUUUCUUCAACAAAGUAUCAGGGUUUUAGAUUGACAAUUUUUUCUCCAUCUUAAUUAGUUUAAUUUGAUUAUUGUCAGAAUGUCGUCUCGAUUUAAUACUAAUCAGUUACAACCUGGAAGGCAAUGAGAAAGAAUUUCAAUGGAGGUAGUACUACAAUAGCUACCGGUAGUGGUGGUGCUGUAGGUAAAGAGAAAUUGUCAUAUUCUGAACCAAAUUCAGCUCAAAGUACUCCUUCUAGGAGUCUUCCAAAGAGUGUUUCGGUAACAGGAUGUGUUAAAUUUCAUCCAGGUGGUGAUGUAGGAAUGAGAGGAGGAGGAGGAAGUUAUUCUAAAGUUUGUAGAAGGGUUUCAAUGUUCUCUCUGAUUUUGAGCUUUUUGAAGAUCCAUAUUUCUAGAUGUAUCAUCAUGUUCAGGUUUUAGACCGAUUAGUAAUGCAGAGAAGGUUACUAAGGGAUUUUUAUAUUUUUGAGACAGCACAACGCACAUACUCUAACAUGGCUUGGGAAUCGUGAAACUAGGUUUACUUUUGAUCAUUGUUGCGUAUGAGACGAUAUCACAGGAGAAGCUAUUCAUGGUUGUUGGUUUCCCCAUGGUAGAGGAUCAUGUCAGGGUAUAAUAGUUGUAUGUUUGCUUACAAUCAGACGGGGAGUGGUAAGACAUAUACUAUGAUGAGAGAGGUACAUGAGAUGGAUAGAUAUCUUAACGAAGACUGUGGGAUGACUCUUUGUAUUUUUGAAUAUUUGUUUAUGAGGAUUCGAGAUGAAGAUUAGAACCCGCAGGGAAGAAAAGUGAAAGUACAGCUGCAAGUGUUCCUUUCUUGAGAUUUACAAUAAGCAAAUAACUGAUCUCUUGGAACCCUCAUCUAAUCUUCAGGCAGAAAACCUCUGGUGCUGAAGGAGAGCUCUUGAAAGAAGCCGCAAACAUCAACGAAUCACUAUCAACUCUUGGUACGAGUUGGGAGUCCAUGGUUCGCGAAGUGAAGAGAGACUAAUCAGCCUCCAUUUAUGUGGCAUUACCAUCGGAAAUAACAGAGAAAAGUUCAAUGAGGCCAACAGGAUCUAGCUCACCCUUUUAGAUGCAUCCAGGGUUUGGUUCACCAUGUGAGAAUAGAGAAAGAUCAAGAGUUAUCAAUGGCCAGACUUCGAUAGAAGAGCUGCAGGCAUUGUCGCCUAAACAACAAAAAGAAACUUGCAGCAGCUGAAAGCAUGAGACGUGAUGUGUGAUUAGGGAUUUACUUGCCGUCAAACUGGACCUCACUAGCUAUGCGUAGAAGUCUUAGCUGAUCUAUUUGUCUCUCAGGUAAGCAUGUUAAAUGCAAGACUUGCAGCAGCCGAAAGCAUGACACAUGAUGUGAUUGGGGAUUUACUAGCUAUGCAGUAAGUUUAGAAUAGCAUUUGAUGCAGUCAUCAAAUGAAUUCUUCUUUAAGUUACUUUUCUCAAUGUUCUGAGUAUUUUUUGUCUUUUUUACUGGAAUCCCGAACUUGAUAGACCAGCACGAGGUUCAGAAGUUGAAGAAGCUCAGAAACAAACAAAAGAGUCCAUUGCAGGAGCAAGAAAUUAUGAAUUUGAGGAAGCAAAUGAUACAAGUGAUUUGUUGGAGGAAAGACAAAGAAUAGAUGGAGAGGAAAAAUGGACGAAACGGUGAAGAAACAAUUUGAGUCACAGAAUUCCCAACUAAGGGUUCAAUAUAAGAUGAAGGGAAGAAGGAAAACUGCUUCUCAAGGGAUGGUAAUGCGGAAUUUAGCAAGAGGCUAGUGCAUUCAGAUAAGUUCCUAUCUGGUAGCAGAAACCUUUUAGUCUUCAUCCAUAUAAUCAGUAUGACGAGGAAAGGCACACAAACAAAAUACAGGAACACGAAGAUGAUUCCAAUUAGCCCAAGCGAGCCUUGAAAAAUGACAUCUUUCAGAGAAAACAUGUUAAAUUAGUAAAACUCUAAUUAUUACUGUUCAUAUACAUAUUUUGUGUAUGUUAAUUUAGUACUACAACAAAUAGUAGUACUAAAUCAAUUUGUUUAACUUGGAAAUCAAUUUGUUUCCAAUCUUGC